CUAUCCCCACUCACCCCCGCUCAUCUUGCCUUGUAAAGGGCAUCACCACCUAUAUCUGCUCCAGGCAGAAACCACACGCUCCCCAGUCCUGCAUCAAUCCUGCCUCCUCCAUCUCCAUGAUGCCUCUUAACUCCCUCCACCUCUCCAUCUCCAUGGCCACCACCUGCUCUCACCUGGCGUCCUCCUCCUUGGUCUUCUCCUUCUACUUUUAUUCUUGUCAACUCCAUUAGACACAGCCAGAGGCCACCUCCUAAAAUAGGAGCUGACUUAUGUCCCUUUUCUCAUUAAAACUCUUCAGUGGCUUCACAUGGCACUGAGAAGAAAACUCAGGCUCCUUCCCAGCCCUGUGCACAUGUCCCCUGCAUGUCUCCCCACUUCCUCUCCUACCCUGCCCUCCUUAGGCCCUGGCCUCCCUCAUCUUCUCCUGGUUCCCGGAGCACACUGAGCUCUUUUCCUUCACAAGGCCUUGGAGCAUGCUGCUCCAUCUGCCUGGAAACCUCUCCCUCAAGACUCAGUACAUGAGUCACCUCCCCAUAGACGCUUCCCCUGACCCUCUGUGUUGGUCUGCUCUGGCUCUCAUAAGAAAAUACCAGAGACUGAGUGGCUUAAACAAAAGACAUUUAUUUUCUCACAGUCCUGGAGGCUGGAAGUCCAAGACCAAGGUGUUCGCAGGGUUGGUUUCUUCUAAGGCCUCUCUCCUUGGCUUGGAGAUGGCCCUGGUUGGUCUUCUGAGUGCAGGUGUCCCUGGUGUCUCUUUGUGUGUCCAGAUUUUCUCUUAUAAGGACACUGGUGAGAUUGGAUGAGGGGCCCCCUGACGGCCUCAUCUUAAUGUAAUCACCUCUCUUAUCUCCAUAUCCAUUCACAUACGGGCCAUUGCGAGCUACCGGGGAUUAGGGGUUCAACACAUAAAUUGGGGGUGGGGGGGUGCAGCUCAGCCCAUAAACAUGCCCCCUCUGGCUCGCUCUCCCAGGGCAUCCAUCGUAGCACUUAGAAAAAUGAUCACUUCUUCUUUUUUGGCUUUGUGGUGGCGUGUGUGUGUGUGUAUUUGUAUAUACACACAUAUAUAUAUAAAUACACAGACACACAUAUAUACAAACACACGCAUUCAUUUUCGUCCACAGUUCCUGGCUCAUAACUCCCACAGCCCUUGUUACACUCUUUUGUUACAACAUUGGGUGUGUCAGGCCUCAGGAGACAAUCACUCUAACCUCCUGCCCUUCCUUUUACCUGCCCAAGACAGGACUCUAAUCUUCCCUACCUUUCUGAUGGUGGGUCAUAAAACUCAUUCCAGAGACGGUCCCACCCCAUAUCCUGCUAGAAGGAAUGCUGCUGUCAUGAAGCUUCCAUAAAAACCAAGGGGACUGGAUUCAGAGAGCUUCCAGAUAACUGAACAUACAGAGGUUCUAGAAGGGUGGUGCGCCCAGGGAGGGCACAGGAAGCUCCAUGCCCUUCCUUCAUACCUCACCCUAUGCAUCUCUUUAUCUGUAUCUUUUAUAAUAUCCUUUAUAAUAAACCAGUAAAUGUAUUUCCCUUAGUUUUGUGAGCCACUCCAGCAAAUUGAACCUACAGAGGGAAUUGUGGGAACCUCAACUUGAAGCCAGUCGGUCAGAAGUUCCAAAGGUCACCCGGGCGCGGUGGUUCACGCCUGUAAUCCCAGCACUUUGGGAGGCCGAGGCGGGUGGAUCAGGAGUUUGAGACCAGCCUAGCCAACAUGGUGAAACCCUGUCUUUACUGAAAAUACGAAAAAUUAGCUGGGCAUCGUGGUGGGCGCCUGUAAUCCCAGCUACUUGGGAGGCUGAAGCAGGAGAAUUGCUUGAGCCUGAGAGGCAGAGGCUGCAGUGAGCUGAGAUCGCGCCACUGCACUCCAGCCCGGGCAACAGAGUGAGACUGUCUCAAAAAAAAAAAAAAAAAGAAAUUCCAAAGGUGGCCAGCAUGGUGGCUCAUGCCUGUAAUUCCAGUACUUUGAGGCCGAGGUGGGAGGAAUGCUUGAGCCCCCAGUCUGGGCAAUAUAGUGAGACCCCAUCUCUGCAAAAAAAGAAGUUCCAGAGGCCCAGACUUGCUACUGGUGCCCAGGGGGCUGUGGGGCAGCUUGGGCAUUGAGCCCUCAUGCUGUGGGAUCUGAUGCUGUCUCUAGGUAGAUAGUGUUGGAAUUGAAUUGGAGGACACCCAACUGGUGUCCGCUGCAGAACUGAUUGCUUGCCUGGUGGUGGGGAGAAAUCCUUACAUAUUUUUUGGAGUCACAGAAGUCUUCUGUGUUGAUUGUUGUAGUGUGAAAGCAGAGGAAAAACAAUGGUUUGGGUUUUUUCAAAACAACUUUCAUGACACAUACGAGAAUGUAAAUUCCAGAAGGGCCAAGGCCAUGUCUGUUUUACCUACUCUUUUUCCCCCAGCUUCUAGUACAUAGGAGGCAUUUGAUAUAUACCAAACAAACAAGCAAGUGACUGACUAGUUGAUGUCCUGAGAAUCUUCUUGCUGCUGGAAGGGUCCUCCUGCCCUCAGCAUUUCUCUCUGGGAAGCUCUUAGACUACUCUCUCAGUCAUGCCCACCUUUUCGGUCAUAGGUCAGAAGCCAAUGACCUGGCCCUGAGGCUGGCUCGCCACUACACGGGACACCAGGACGUGGUGGUAUUAGAUCAUGCGUAUCACGGCCACCUGAGCUCCCUGAUUGACAUCAGUCCCUACAAGUUCCGCAACCUGGAUGGCCAGAAGGAGUGGGUCCACGUGGUAUGCACUGCCCAACUCAACAACAGGUCGGUGCCUGUCCCCAAGCCCGGAUAACAUGGCGCUGUCACUCCCCACAGGCACCUCUCCCAGACACCUACCGGGGCCCCUACCGGGAGGACCACCCCAACCCAGCUAUGGCCUAUGCCAACGAGGUGAAACGUGUGGUCAGCAGUGCACAGGAGAAGGGCAGGAAGAUUGCAGCCUUCUUCGCUGAGUCUCUGCCCAGUGUGGGAGGGCAGAUCAUUCCCCCUGCUGGCUACUUCUCCCAAGUGGCAGAGCACAUCCGCAAGGCCGGAGGGGUCUUUGUUGCAGAUGAGAUCCAGGUUGGCUUUGGCCGGGUAGGCAAGCACUUCUGGGCCUUCCAGCUCCAGGGAAAAGACUUCGUCCCUGACAUCGUCACCAUGGGCAAGUCCAUUGGCAACGGCCACCCUGUUGCCUGCGUGGCCGCAACCCAGCCUGUGGCGAGGGCAUUUGAAGCCACCGGCGUUGAGUACUUCAACACGUUUGGGGGCAGCCCAGUGUCCUGCGCUGUGGGGCUGGCCGUCCUGAAUGUCUUGGAGAAGGAGCAGCUCCAGGAUCAUGCCACCAGUGUAGGCAGCUUCCUGAUGCAGCUCCUCGGGCAGCAAAAAAUCAAACAUCCCAUCGUCGGGGAUGUCAGGGGUGUUGGGCUCUUCAUUGGUGUGGAUCUGAUCAAAGAUGAGGCCACAAGGACACCAGCAACUGAAGAGGCUGCCUACUUGGUAUCAAGACAUGGAAGAGAAGGUGAGAAGUUGUGAAACGCUGAGGCUCCAGCCCUAAGCCAGCCCUGCUCUGCCUAAGUGUACUCCAGAAGAAACUCAUCUCAUCCAAAUACACGCUAUUGAGAAGGCGAGCCUGACCUCCCUCUUACAGAUAAAGUCAGCUUUCAGAGGCUCAGGGUGGGGGGGCCUGCCCGAGGCCAUAAUGCUACCCACCCCCUCCUCCUAACCACUGGUCUGUUGGAAUAACCCAGAUGUCUGCAUCCCCUCAAGAUAGAGACUUCCAGGAGUUCCACCUGUCCCACCUUAUCUGGCUGCCAACUCCUGCUCAGAAACAGAACCUGCCACACCCUGCCACUGCAGGCCGCACCCUCAACUCCCAACUGCCAACUUGAAGCCUGAACUACCCUUUCCCUGACCAGAGUUCAGGAGGGGAAGAGCUACACCUCCCUGCACAUGAAUCCACUCAUUUGAAAGCACAACUGACCCUGGAUUUAAGCUGGCCAGGACCCUGGGAGAUCUUUGGAAGGAUUUUUGCCUGGGUUUAGGGUUAACUUAAAGAGGUGCCCAGAAGACCAAGUGAGGCAGUUCAUGCCUGUAAUCCCAACACUUUACAAGGCCAAGGCAGAGGAUGGCUUGAGCCCAGGCAACAUGGUGAGACCAGGCUUUAAAAAAACAUAUGAGCCAGGCAUGGUGGUACAUGCCUGUGGUCCCAGCUACUCGAGAGGCUGAGAUGGGAGGAUCCGGUCCGCCCAUGAGGUCAAGGUUGCAGUGAGCCAUGAUUGUGUUACCGCACCCCAGCCUGGACAACAAAGCAAGACUCUGUCUCAAAGCAAAAAAAAAAAAAAAAAAAAAAAAGUGCUCAAAGUGGAUGGAAGUGGACAAAGACUUGGUUGUAGAAGGAGGUAGAAAGGCUCUGGAAUAAGAAAAACUUCACCACAGAGGAGAAUCAGUGAGUUGCAGAAGUUCUAGGAUCUUCUGAGACCUUAAACUGCAGGCUUCAUACCCCUGGACUCAAGAAUCUAGAACUGUCACCUCUAGCUUUAAGUGAGGAGCUAAAGAGGCUACUCAACCUGCUCUAUUCACAGAGGCCACCUUCUCCUACCUCCCUCACAUCCUGUGUUGUUUAUUGGCAGUCCUCCCAGCCUGAGAAGUCUUUCAAGGAUUGGAACACUGCCCCAAUCAGGGCAGCAUACGCUUCAGAGAAAUAGUAAAGUCUGACCAACCUGGAGAGCUCCUGCAUGAGGCCCAACCCCUAACCCAUCCCUCUAAGGGCCAGCUCUCCAGCAGCACAGGAGGCCAAGCAGAGCUGGGAACACCUUACCUUGCUUCCACUGACAGUAUGGAACUUUUUCUCCAGAACCUUCUUCACGGGUUCUUCUUCUUUAAAGGUGAUAAACACAAAA